AUUUAAAUAGCUUAUAAUAAGAGCAUGAUAUUGAAGUUAUCAAGGAAAUAUAAUAUAUUUUUAAAUA
rnacentral:tRNA from 1 species